rnacentral:rRNA from 1 species
GGGGAAUAUUGCGCAAUGGGCGAAAGCCUGACGCAGCGACGCCGCGUGAGGGAUGAAGGUUUUCGGAUCGUAAACCUCUGUCAGAAGGGAAGAAACCGCACCGUGCUAAUCAGCGGUGCCUUGACGGUACCUUCAAAGGAAGCACCGGCUAACUCCGUGCCAGCAGCCGCGGUAAUACGGAGGGUGCAAGCGUUAAUCGGAAUUACUGGGCGUAAAGCGCACGUAGGCUGCUUUGUAAGUCAGGGGUGAAAUCCCACGGCUCAACCGGGGAAACGCCUUUGAGAAUGCGUAGCUUGAAUACGGGGAGGGGGUGGGGGAUUCCAGGUGGAGGAGUGAAAUCCGUAGAUAUCUGGAGGAACAGUAGUGGCGAAGGAGGCCACCUGGAACGGUAUUGACGCUGAGGUGCGAAAGCGUGGGGAGCAAACA